AUUGAACGCUGGCGGCAUGCUCCACACAUGCAAGUCGAACGGUAACAGGGUGCUUGCACCGCUGACGAGUGGCGAACGGGUGAGUAAUACAUCAGAAUGUACCCAGUAAUGGGGGAUAACGCUUCGAAAGGAGUGCUAAUACCGCAUACGCCCUGAGGGGGAAAGUGGGGGACCGCAAGGCCUCACGUUAUUGGAGCAGCCGAUGGCUGAUUAGCUAGUUGGUGAGGUAAAGGCUCACCAAGGCGACGAUCAGUAGCGGGUCUUAGAGGACGAUCCGCCACACUGGAACUGAGACACGGUCCAGACUCCUACGGGAGGCAGCAGUGGGGAAUCUUGGACAAUGGGCGAAAGCCUGAUCCAGCAAUGCCGCGUGCGUGAAGAAGGCCUUCGGGUUGUAAAGCGCUUUUGUCUGGGAGCAAAUCCUGGCCUCUAAUACAGGUCGGGGAUGAGAGUACCAGAAGAAUAAGGACCGGCUAACUACGUGCCAGCAGCCGCUGUAACAC
rnacentral:rRNA from 1 species